GGAUCGGUGGAGAUGGCCUUAACUGUCCGGAAGAGCGAGGAAUUAUGUACACGUGGUUGACGCGGAAAGGCCUUUUCAAUUCCCAUCACGAAGUCUCACAACCCACUGCGACUCCGUACUCGCUCUUCAAUCGACGGCCCAUACUCAUCCAUCACCCCAUAAACACUUCCCCACCGUCUGUUAAAAUCCACGAUCAGCAAAAGCGCGGGAAACUGAAAUGUUAUCUGCGAACCAAGAAGUGCAAAACUGCACCAGCCUGAGCCAGAGUGAUUCACUCAGUCAGUUUUCGCGUUUCGUUGCUCGUGCGUGAAGCUAAGACGCAGCGUUUCAUCUCUCUCUCUCUCUCCCUCCCUCGGAGCUACGUUAGCGUGCUAGGGUUUCUGGAUUUUGUGGGAAUGGCGCCGAGGAAACGCAAGCUGACUGCGCAAGAGAAAGAGCAGGUGGCAAGGGUCGGCGCCCAGUUGGAGGCGCUGGUGGCUAGGGACACCGCUCGGGGGGGAUCCGCUGAGCGAGUGACCCGGAGUUUGAAUCAGACAGCUGCCAGUGGGAGCUCGGCUGAGCCCCGGCCAGUGGCGCCGGCGAGGAAGAAGGCCAAGGGAGCUCAGAAGAAAAAGGAGCCAGCCAAGAAGGUGAAGCCGGCGGCGGAAGAAGCGGAAUGGGAGGCUGUGAAGGAAGAGAAGGAGAACUCCGUCGAGCGAGGCAGAGGCAGAAGCGGAGAACAAGAACGAGAAAGGGAAAGAGAAACUGGAGGACGACGGAGAAGCUACGAAGCAUACUGGCAACGAGUGGGACAAGAGGACCAUUGUGAUUGAGCACUGCAGGCAAUGCAAGUCAUUCAAGACAAGAGCUGAUGAGGUGAAAGAUGGCUUGGAGAAGGGCGUUCCUGGCAUCAAAGUUCUACUAAACCCUGAUAAGCCAAGAAAAGGAUGCUUUGAGAUACGGGAGGAAGGCGGCGAGACAUUCAUCAGUCUUCUGGACAUGGAACGACCAUUUUCAGAAAUGGAGGAGCUGAACAUGGAGGAAGUCAUUGCCGAUAUAAUUGAGAAGAUCAAAUGAACAAUGUAAUACAUGGCAUGCCAGAGGAGUUUUUGGUUAGUAGGGGUAACUGUCUUUUUGGGGGGUAUCCAAGUUCAUUUGGUGUUUUACAUUUGAUCGUAUAGUUGCACCUGGUGAGGCCAACGAUCUGGAUAUAUUUUGGAAAAGCUCGAAAGACUAGACGUUGCAUGCAAGCGAAUGUAGGUUACUGAUGAUAACAUAUUCUUUUUGUUAAUGCUUGAAUUUAAUCGAGUAGAACUUCUUUGACAGCAUAAUAUUUCGAUUUCAAAUUUCUAAUCUUCUGUGACUUUAUUCUCCAUUGUGCAUUAUUGAAAAGAGCUUUAGAUCCUUUUAUC